AACCUUAUCUUCUUAUACUUCCCAUGAUCAGGUAGGUGGUUUUCCCAGGGUGAGGCUCAUCUCCUCCACUCUGGUGUGCUGACCCCUGCGAUUUCCCCAAAUGAAGGAAACUUGACUGCAUAAUUUGGGGCAGCGUGGGACUGUGUUCAUGUUCUCCCCUG
rnacentral:snRNA from 10 species